UCGGGAAUUUUGUGCAAUGGGCGAAAGCCUGACACAGCAACGCCGCGUGAAGGAUGAAGUCCCUCGGGAUGUAAACUUCGUAAGAAUAGGAAGAAUAUAUGACGGUACUAUUUGUAAGGUCCGGCUAACUACGUGCCAGCAGCCGCGGUAAUACGUAGGGACCAAGCGUUGUUCGGAUUUACUGGGCGUAAAGGGUGCGUAGGCGGCAUAUCAAGUCACUUGUGAAAUCUCCGGGCUUAACUCGGAACUGCCAAGUGAUACUGAUGUGCUAGAGUGCAGAAAGGGCAACUGGAAUUCUUGGUGUAGCGGUGAAAUGCGUAGAUAUCAAGAGGAACACCUGAGGCGAAGGCGAGUUGCUAGGCUGACACUGACGCUGAGGUACGAAAGCUAGGGGAGCGAACGGGAUUAGAUACCCUAGUAGUCCCUGAGCGGGCUGGCAAGGCGCAU
rnacentral:rRNA from 1 species